UUACUGAAAAGUGAAACAUUUUUUGGAGAGUUGGAGGAAAAAUAAAGGAAAAGAAGGAUCAGAUUCACAAAGCUGGAAGGAAAACAAAGCCAACCUGUCUAGUAGCUCAGUGACCAAAGGACUCAGCCAAGAUGAGCUGGAUCAUCAGCAUCCUUGGGUGGUGAUCCACUUUUCCUAGGUUCUUCAGAAGGAAGGCAUCUGAACCAAGCAAAGGUGGAAGGAAGUGGAAAAAAUACCACCUGGGAAACUUUAAGAGUUGAGAGACCGCAGACUUCCCAGAUGCAUACAAAACCUCAAGUUGUAUUCACGAACUGUUGCAAGCAUGGCCUGAGGGUCAGGAACACAUCAAACCAAAACUUUAUUCAAGUGGUUUUGAGGUUUGAGGUGAAUGUGUUGCACUGCUCUAGUAGCAUCCUGAGGGGCGGAGUGUGGGUAAGCUGUGAGUGGGAUUUAGUUGCUCUAAGUGCACUAGUAUAUUCCGGAACAAGAGUGUGAUUAUAGGCCAACUUUACAGUAGGAAUAAAUGUUUUGCUGUCUUAUAAAUGCAUAUGUCAAUAGAAUAUUUAUUGUUGUUAGCAUUGCGGCACAGAGAAUUGUAAGAAAAGAAAUAAAAAUAUAUUAUGGGUUUCUAUUUCCCACUGA